UCGCACGAGAAAGUGGAGCAAUCCAUGAGUACAGUGGCGUACGGGUGAGUAACACGUGGAUCAUCUACCUCUUGAUGGGGAAUAACCCUGGGAAACCGGGGCUAAUACCGCAUAAGCCUGAAAAGGGAAAGCAGCAAUGCGUCGAGAGAGGAGUCCGCGGCCGAUUAGCUAGUUGGUAGGGUAAAAGCCUACCAAGGCAAUGAUCGGUAGCCGGCCUGAGAGGGCACACGGCCACACUGGCACUGAAACACGGGCCAGACUCCUACGGGAGGCAGCAGUGGGGAAUCUUGCACAAUGGACGAAAGUCUGAUGCAGCGACGCCGCGUGAGCGAUGAAGCCCUUCGGGGUGUAAAGCUCUUUCGACGGGAACGAUAAUGACGGUACCCGGAGAAGAAGCUGCGGCUAACUACGUGCCAGCAGCCGCGGUAAUACGUAGGCAGCGAGCGUUGUUCGGAAUUACUGGGCGUAAAGAGUGUGUAGGCGGUGUUCCCAGUCUGUUGUGAAAUCUCCCGGCUUAACUGGGAGGGUGCAGCGGAAACUAGAAUGCUAGAGGGUGGGAGAGGUAAGCGGAAUUCCUGGUGUAGCGGUGAAAUGCGUAGAUAUCAGGAGGAACACCUGUGGUGUAGACAGCUUACUGGACCACUUCUGACGCUGAGACACGAAAGCGUGGGUAGCAAACAGGAUUAGAUACCCUGGUAGUCCACGCCCUAAACGAUGCAUACUUGGUGUGAGCGAUUCAUUUCGUUCGUGCCGGAGCUAACGCGUUAAGUAUGC
rnacentral:rRNA from 1 species